rnacentral:lncRNA from 12 species
ACCAAAGCCCCUGACGGUCUGGGAAGGAAUCAGUGUGGCCAAAAAUUACCAAUAAAAGGCACCAAAUGCAGCCGAAAUCCACCAGGUUUGGCCUAAAAAUCAGCCAAAGGGACCUCAAAUGCACACAAUAGUGGUCUACAAUCGUCCAAAUUUGCCUAACAUUGUCCGAAAGGGCCCUAAAAUCCUGUCUAAAAUCCCAUAUUGGCAUAAAAUCAGCCAAAUGGGCUUAAAAUCUCUGGAAGCAAGACGACGACCAACACCAGAACCAGCACCAGCACAAGUACUGAGACCAACAUCAGAACGGAGAACAAGACCAGAACUGGGAACAGAACCGACACCAGAACUGAGACCAGCACCGCUCCAGAACUGGAACUGAGACUGGGACCAAGACUGAGACUGGCCUCAGAAUUUCUGCUGGGCCAGGGGCUACAGCUGCCAUGGGGAGAUGUUCUCAGCUGCAGCCAUGGCCGCCCUGGCCCAGGAGCUGCUCCCCUGCCGGGCUGAGCUGCUGCAGGGGGGGCUGGGGGGGCCCAACCGGGGCCGGGUGCUGCGGCACCUGCUGCGGGGCAGAGCCCUGCUGGUGCCCUAUGAUGAGGACAGCAACCACAGCCCGUGCUGCCGCCAGGGCCACAAGGCUCACUGGGCCCUGAUCAACGGUGAGAGAGGGGCCAAAAUAUCCCAAAAUGGGGGGGGGGGGGGGGGGGGGGGGGGGGGGGGGGGGGGGGGGG